CUAAAGGUUUUGACGAAGAUGGUGUGAAGAAAGAGUUUUUAGAGAGUCGGUGGUUGCUGAAAACCGAUACUCUUGCUUCAUAAUGCCGAGCACUUCUGAACUGGAUAGCUGAACCAUUUAAGUAGGCUAUCACGGUAUGAUGCCGUUAUUUUCAUGAAGGUUACUAUGUACAUAGUAAUAAAAGAGGGUGGCACCACGGAUGAUCGUCCCUCAU
rnacentral:ncRNA from 1 species